rnacentral:rRNA from 1 species
CCUACGGGCGGCUGCAGUAGGGAAUAUUGCACAAUGGGCGCAAGCCUGAUGCAGCCAUGCCGCGUGUGUGAAGAAGGCCUUCGGGUUGUAAAGCACUUUCAGCGGGGAGGAAGGCGUUAAGGUUAAUAACCUUGCCGAUUGACGUUACCCGCAGAAGAAGCACCGGCUAACUCCGUGCCAGCAGCCGCGGUAAUACGGAGGGUGCAAGCGUUAAUCGGAAUUACUGGGCGUAAAGCGCACGCAGGCGGUCUGUCAAGUCGGAUGUGAAAUCGCCGGGCUCAACCUGGGAACUGCAUUCGAAACUGGCAGGCUAGAGUCUUGUAGAGGGGGGUAGAAUUCCAGGUGUAGCGGUGAAAUGCGUAGAGAUCUGGAGGAAUACCGGUGGCGAAGGCGGCCCCCUGGACAAAGACUGACGCUCAGGUGCGAAAGCGUGGGGGGCAAACAGGAUUAGAUACCCUAGUAGUC